GUGAACAUAGUUUAUCAAAACCCUAGUCUGUGACUCUAGAAAUGGGGGCUAAUCCCCCCUGUUCACC
rnacentral:tRNA from 1 species